rnacentral:misc_RNA from 2 species
AACGCACAUUGCGCCCGCCAGUAUUCUGGCGGGCAUGCCUGUUCGAGCGUCAUUUCAACCCUCAAGCCCAGCUUGGUGUUGGGGAUCGGCACACGGCGCCCUCGGGCGCCCGCCGUCCCCUAAAUAUAGUGGCGGUCCCGCUGCAGCCUCCUCUGCGUAGUAGUUUUCUCCUCGCAAGGGCAGCUCGGUGGCGACCUCGCCGUAAAACCCCCAACUUCUGAAAGGUUGACCUCGAAUCAGGUAGGAAUACCCGCUGAACUUAA